rnacentral:rRNA from 2 species
AUAACUUUCAACAAUGGAUCUCUUGGCUCUCGCAUCGAUGAAGAACGCAGCGAAAUGCGAUAAGUAAUGUGAAUUGCAGAAUUCAGUGAAUCAUCGAAUCUUUGAACGCACCUUGCGCUCCUUGGUAUUCCGAGGAGCAUGCCUGUUUGAGUGUCGUUAAA